UGUGUUAGUGGAAGCGUCUGGAAAGGCGCGCGAUACAGGGUGACAGCCCCGUACACAAAAAUGCACAUAUUGUGAGCUCGAUGAGUAGGGCGGGACACGUGGUAUCCUGUCUGAAUAUGGGGGGACCAUCCUCCAAGGCUAAAUACUCCUGACUGACCGAUAGUGAACCAGUACCGUGAGGGAAAGGCGAAAAGAACCCCGGCGAGGGGAGUGAAAAAGAACCUGAAACCGUGUACGUACAAGCAGUGGGAGCCUCUUUAUGGGGUGACUGCGUACCUUUUGUAUAAUGGGUCAGCGACUUAUAUUCUGUAGCAAGGUUAACCGAAUAGGGGAGCCGAAGGGAAACCGAGUCUUAACUGGGCGUUAAGUUGCAGGGUAUAGACCCGAAACCCGGUGAUCUAGCCAUGGGCAGGUUGAAGGUUGGGUAACACUAACUGGAGGACCGAACCGACUAAUGUUGAAAAAUUAGCGGAUGACUUGUGGCUGGGGGUGAAAGGCCAAUCAAACCGGGAGAUAGCUGGUUCUCCCCGAAAGCUAUUUAGGUAGCGCCUCGUGAAUUCAUCUCCGGGGGUAGAGCACUGUUUCGGCAAGGGGGUCAUCCCGACUUACCAACCCGAUGCAAACUGCGAAUACCGGAGAAUGUUAUCACGGGAGACACACGGCGGGUGCUAACGUCCGUCGUGAAGAGGGAAACAACCCAGACCGCCAGCUAAGGUCCCAAAGUCAUGGUUAAGUGGGAAACGAUGUGGGAAGGCCCAGACAGCCAGGAUGUUGGCUUAGAAGCAGCCAUCAUUUAAAGAAAGCGUAAUAGCUCACUGGUCGAGUCGGCCUGCGCGGAAGAUGUAACGGGGCUAAACCAUGCACCGAAGCUGCGGCAGCGACACUAUGUGUUGUUGGGUAGGGGAGCGUUCUGUAAGCCUGUGAAGGUGGCCUGUGAGGGUUGCUGGAGGUAUCAGAAGUGCGAAUGCUGACAUAAGUAACGAUAAAGCGGGUGAAAAGCCCGCUCGCCGGAAGACCAAGGGUUCCUGUCCAACGUUAAUCGGGGCAGGGUGAGUCGACCCCUAAGGCGAGGCCGAAAGGCGUAGUCGAUGGGAAACAGGUUAAUAUUCCUGUACUUGGUGUUACUGCGAAGGGGGGACGGAGAAGGCUAUGUUGGCCGGGCGACGGUUGUCCCGGUUUAAGCGUGUAGGCUGGUUUUCCAGGCAAAUCCGGAAAACCAAGGCUGAGGCGUGAUGACGAGGCACUACGGUGCUGAAGCGACAAAUGCCCUGCUUCCAGGAAAAGCCUCUAAGCAUCAGGUAACAUCAAAUCGUACCCCAAACCGACACAGGUGGUCAGGUAGAGAAUACCAAGGCGCUUGAGAGAACUCGGGUGAAGGAACUAGGCAAAAUGGUGCCGUAACUUCGGGAGAAGGCACGCUGAUAUGUAGGUGAAGCGACUUGCUCGUGGAGCUGAAAUCAGUCGAAGAUACCAGCUGGCUGCAACUGUUUAUUAAAAACACAGCACUGUGCAAACACGAAAGUGGACGUAUACGGUGUGACGCCUGCCCGGUGCCGGAAGGUUAAUUGAUGGGGUUAGCGGUAACGCGAAGCUCUUGAUCGAAGCCCCGGUAAACGGCGGCCGUAACUAUAACGGUCCUAAGGUAGCGAAAUUCCUUGUCGGGUAAGUUCCGACCUGCACGAAUGGCGUAAUGAUGGCCAGGCUGUCUCCACCCGAGACUCAGUGAAAUUGAACUCGCUGUGAAGAUGCAGUGUACCCGCGGCAAGACGGAAAGACCCCGUGAACCUUUACUAUAGCUUGACACUGAACAUUGAGCCUUGAUGUGUAGGAUAGGUGGGAGGCUUUGAAGUGUGGACGCCAGUCUGCAUGGAGCCGACCUUGAAAUACCACCCUUUAAUGUUUGAUGUUCUAACGUUGGCCCGUAAUCCGGGUUGCGGACAGUGUCUGGUGGGUAGUUUGACUGGGGCGGUCUCCUCCUAAAGAGUAACGGAGGAGCACGAAGGUUGGCUAAUCCUGGUCGGACAUCAGGAGGUUAGUGCAAUGGCAUAAGCCAGCUUGACUGCGAGCGUGACGGCGCGAGCAGGUGCGAAAGCAGGUCAUAGUGAUCCGGUGGUUCUGAAUGGAAGGGCCAUCGCUCAACGGAUAAAAGGUACUCCGGGGAUAACAGGCUGAUACCGCCCAAGAGUUCAUAUCGACGGCGGUGUUUGGCACCUCGAUGUCGGCUCAUCACAUCCUGGGGCUGAAGUAGGUCCCAAGGGUAUGGCUGUUCGCCAUUUAAAGUGGUACGCGAGCUGGGUUUAGAACGUCGUGAGACAGUUCGGUCCCUAUCUGCCGUGGGCGCUGGAGAACUGAGGGGGGCUGCUCCUAGUACGAGAGGACCGGAGUGGACGCAUCACUGGUGUUCGGGUUGUCAUGCCAAUGGCACUGCCCGGUAGCUAAAUGCGGAAGAGAUAAGUGCUGAAAGCAUCUAAGCACGAAACUUGCCCCGAGAUGAGUUCUCCCUGAGACUUAGAGUCUCCUGAAGGAACGUUGAAGACGACGACGUUGAUAGGCCGGGUGUGUAAGCGCAGCGAUGCGUUGAGCUAACCGGUACUAAUGAACCGUGAGGCUUAACCU
rnacentral:rRNA from 1 species